rnacentral:rRNA from 1 species
GUAGGGAAUCUUGCGCAAUGGGCGAAAGCCUGACGCAGCCAUGCCGCGUGAAUGAUGAAGGUCUUAGGAUUGUAAAAUUCUUUCACCGGGGACGAUAAUGACGGUACCCGGAGAAGAAGCCCCGGCUAACUUCGUGCCAGCAGCCGCGGUAAUACGAAGGGGGCUAGCGUUGCUCGGAAUGACUGGGCGUAAAGGGAGCGUAGGCGGAUAGUUUAGUCAGAGGUGAAAGCCCAGGGCUCAACCUUGGAAUUGCCUUUGAUACUGGCUAUCUUGAGUAUGGAAGAGGUAUGUGGAACUCCGAGUGUAGAGGUGAAAUUCGUAGAUAUUCGGAAGAACACCAGUGGCGAAGGCGACAUACUGGUCCAUUACUGACGCUGAGGCUCGAAAGCGUGGGGAGCAAACAGGAUUAGAUACCCGUGUAGUCC